AGUUUUUGGCCAGGUCCUAUCGCCUCUUUUAUCAGAAUCUCCUUCGUCCAGUGGAUAUGGAACAAUGUCGAAGAUCUCUUGCUUGCCGGGCAGACAGAAGGAUUCAAAAGUCUUGGGUUGGAGAGAUGGUUCAGAGAUUAAGAGCACCGGCUACUCUUCCAGAGGUCAUGAGUUCAAUUCCCAGCAUCACAACCAUCUGUAAUGGGAUCUGAUGCCCUCUUCUGGUGUGUCUGAAGACAGUGACAGUGGACUUAUAUACAUAAAAUAAACAAACAAACAAACAAAUAAAUAUUUUAAAAGUC